CCCAAAAUCUGCAGAAGAGAUGAAGAGUACCUGAAAACUGGAUGGGCAGCACCAGGAGCAAAACUGUCAGCAAGAACUGGUUUUCUUCUUUUUCUGUUUAGAGAAAUCUAGCUGGUGUCUCACUGAGCAGAAGAAGUGAGCUGGGCUGAAAUAGGAUCCUGCACUCCAGGUUUCCAAAUGGCUGAUCCUUUUCUAUAUAAUACUGGAGAAAGGUCUCACUAUGGGUGCCUUGGCCAUGAAGUACAAAUUGAUUACCUUAAGGCAUAUGUUUGUAGACCAUCUUUUUCCACGGACAAAGCUGUGAUUGUGGUUCACGAUGUAUUUGGAUGGCAGUUCCCAGACAUUAGAUACAUAGUUGAUUUGAUGGCAGGUCAUGGAUUUGUAACCAUCUGCCCAGACUUCUUCAAGGGGACAAAACCCUGGACAUCUACUGAUCACUGGGCUGACUUUCCUGACUGGAUGAAAAAUCAUGAUCCUAUGAAAGUAGACAAGGAAGCUGAUGUUGUCUUGAAGUAUCUAAAGGAACAAUGCGGUGCAAAGAAGAUUGGUAUCGUUGGGUUUUCCUGGGGUGGAAUGGCAGUACAUCACUUGAUGCUGAAAAAUCCUCAAUUAACCGCUGGGGUGUCCCUCUAUGGAAUAGUUAGAGACUCUGAAGAAAGAUACAGUUUACUAAAUCCCACAUUUUUCAUUUUUGGUGAGAAAGACCACACUAUUUCUUUGGAUCAGGUCUUCUUAUUGGAGGACAAGCUGAAACAGUAUUGUAAAGUUCCAUAUAAAAUUAAAGUUUAUCCUGGGCAAGUUCAUGGGUUUGCACAACUGAAGCCAGAAGAUAUGAAACCUGAUGAUAAACCUUAUAUUGAAGAAGCUAGAAGGGAUAUGAUUGAUUGGAUCAAAAUGUUUGUUUGACAAUAGCAGAAAGAAAUACUAGGCUUCAAGAUUCCUAGAUGGCUGAUGAAUGAGGCCCUGCCUGUGUGAUACUGGAGGCAGAUUUGACUAUGAGGGUUGUGGGGCAGGAAGUACAAGUUGAGCACAUCAAGGUGUACAUUUGCAAACCACCUGCCAGCACAGGCAAAUCUGCGAUUGUGAUUCAUGAUCUAUUUGGACGGCACCUCCCAAACAUCAGAUACAUGGCUGAUAUGCUAACAACUAAUGGAUACAUAAAUUAUAUAAAGGAUCAAACAAGGGGAAGAAAAAUAAAUGAUUGCAACAUACUUCAGUCUGAUUUAGGCCAAACUGAUUCAGUCAUUUCACCAUGUUCAAUAACAUCCAUGAGGUGUGUCUGAGGAUGGAGAG